rnacentral:rRNA from 1 species
GAUGAACGCUGGCGGCGUGCCUAAUACAUGCAAGUCGAGCGAACGGACGAGAAGCUUGCUUCUCUGAUGUUAGCGGCGGACGGGUGAGUAACACGUGGAUAACCUACCUAUAAGACUGGGAUAACUUCGGGAAACCGGAGCUAAUACCGGAUGAUAUUUUGAACCGCAUGGUUCAAAAGUGAAAGACGGUCUUGCUGUCACUUAUAGAUGGAUCCGCGCUGCAUUAGCUAGUUGGUAAGGUAACGGCUUACCAAGGCAACGAUGCAUAGCCGACCUGAGAGGGUGAUCGGCCACACUGGAACUGAGACACGGUCCAGACUCCUACGGGAGGCAGCAGUAGGGAGUCUUCCACAAUGGGCGAAAGCCUGACGGAGCAACGCCGCGUGAGUGAUGAAGGUCUUCGGAUCGUAAAACUCUGUUAUUAGGGAAGAACAUAUGUGUAAGUAACUGUGCACAUCUUGACGGUACCUAAUCAGAAAGCCACGGCUAACUACGUG